AUAAGGGUCACAUGUGGCAUCCGGGCACCAUUGGGGAUCACUUGCUACUGUCCUGUUUCCAAACCCAGAAGCCUCAGGCUGCCUUCCCGGGUGCCCGUGCACAAUGAGGAUACUGAGGCACAAGGGACUGAGGGUCGCCCCCUCAACCCAGCUCCUGCACAUCUGCCUCAGGGCUCAUGCUGGGCGUUGGGUCCCUGAAUGGGAAAAUGGGUGACAGUGACCUCCCAGGCCUCACCAGUGGCAGUGACCUCCCAGGCCUCUCCAGGCCAGGCCACAGCUGGGGAAGGACAGUCUGUCCCCCCGCAGGUUGGACGGUUGCUGCCUCUACCACCUGAAGGGCUGACCUUGGGAAUCCACGUCUCUAUGGAAGGUAAGGCCAGCCCAGCCUGUUGUCAGCACCCCAGACCCUGGGUGAGGGGGUGAGGGGGCCACAGACCCAGAAGGAAGGAGGCCUGAGGACGGCCUGGGGGAGAAAGCGGGAAGCUGCAGAGCUGCCUGGGCUGAGGACCUGGAGCAGGAGGCAGCCAGUGACUGUCUGCGUCGUGGUUUUCACAUCAGCGCCUCCCCAUGCCUGCUGCUGGGUGGACACUGCGCAGCCUCAUCCUCGCACUCCCCGCUCCCAGGAAGCAGGCGUUGGUUUUCCUCUUCCCUGAUGAGAAAAACCAUGGCUCAGAGAAGGGAUGUGUCCGGGAUGACGGAGGCUGACAGCUCCACCUCUGGGCAUGGUCACUGCUGCUAAAUUUAAGCCUUUCUCCUCUUAGGGCGGAAGCCAUGAGGACCAGAGCCUUAAUAUAGCCGCCAGGCGCCCUGCACUCUCCUUCCCACCAGCCCUCCCUGCGCUCUGCCCAGCCAGCCAUAAACAACCAGACGAGCCGGAGGUUGGCAGGCAAAGUGGCCCGGCCCCUUAUCAGAGCGACAGGACUAAAAGGAAAGUCACUUUACCUGCACUGCCUGGACCUGGGCAUACUGACUUCCCAUCACCUUUUGAACUAAAGCAGAUGCCCAGGCAGCCUUCAGGAGGAGGGCGCCGCACCUGGAAAUCCCCAAAGACCUUGCAGCGGCCCCUCCAGCCUGCAGAAAGUGUCCACCAAGACCCUCGGUGCUCGGUCCUGGGCACCCUGGGGGAGGGAGAAGGCCCUGGUGAAGCCCCAAAACAGUAUGGGCAGCAUAGAAAAAGAAGAGAGACGCAGAGCCCCGUCAGCUGGGGCUUCCUGACCCAGAACCAUUUAUAGAGCCCUCCCGCUUCAAGCCCUUAAUUUAUGGCUUCAUUCAGAGCAGAGCAGCAAGGCUGAAAGCACCCCAGGCCCUGAGCCUGCAGCCCUCACUCCUCAAAGCAGGCCCGGAGGCUGGCACGUCCUCACUCUCCCACCAUUCCUGGACCUGGCUGCGGCCAACCAACGGGGUGCUCCUUGACACCCGUAGGUGUGUCUUGGCCAAACACGGACACUGGAUCCCGAGAGCCGCCCUGUACAGGCAUAAACCCGACCGGGCAUCUGAGUCCUGGGGACACACCACAUCUCCACUGUGCUGGGACCGCAGCUUCCAGGGGUGGGCUCAGGGAGAGGGUCAGUCUCUCCUUUGCUGUUGCAAAAGACAGCUCAUGGCUAAGUGACCAUGAUGCCUCUAAGGUUUGUCUGAAACAUGCAACGUGCUCAUUAAGGAGGGAACAUGGGAGGAUCACUCGAGCCCAGGAGUUUGAGACCAGCCCGGGCAGCAUAAUGAGAGCCCAUCUCUACAAAAAAGUAUAAAUAAAUAAAUAAAUAAUCCAGGUGUGGUGGCGUCCGCCUGUGGUCCCAGCUGCUCAGGAGUCUGAGGUGGGAGGAUCACUGGAGCCCAGGAGUUUGAGACCAGCCCGGGCAGCAUAAUGAGAGCCCA
rnacentral:lncRNA from 1 species